rnacentral:rRNA from 1 species
GUCUAUGGCCAUACCACCCUGAACGUGCCCCAUCUCGUCUGGAGGUCUUAUAGUCUCUAUUGCAACUAAGCUGCCAUAGACA